UACAGAGGGGGCAAGCGUUGUUCGGAAUUACUGGGCGUAAAGGGCGCGUAGGCGGCCUGCUAAGUCGAACGUGAAAUCCCUGGGCUCAACCCAGGAACUGCGUCCGAUACUGGUUGGCUUGAAUCCGGGAGAGGGACGUGGAAUUCCAGGUGUAGCGGUGAAAUGCGUAGAUAUCUGGAGGAACACCGGUGGCGAAGGCGGCAUCCUGGACCAACACUGACGCUGAGUGAGCGAAAGCCAGGGGAGCAAACGGG
rnacentral:rRNA from 1 species